rnacentral:rRNA from 1 species
UCAAACCCGCUCUAUAGAACAUAUUUUCCUUCGGGGGACAAAAGGACAAAGUGGUGCAUGGUUGUCGUCAGCUCGUGUCAUGAGAUGUUGGGUUAAGUCCCGCAACGAGCGCAACCCUUAUUACUAGUUGCCAGCAUUUAGUUGGGCACUCUAGUGAGACUGCCGGUGACAAACCGGAGGAAGGUGGGGACGACGUCAAAUCAUCAUGCCCCUUAUGACCUGGGCUACACACGUGCUACAAUGGAUGGUACAACGAGUCGCGAGACCGCGAGGUUUAGCUAAUCUCUUAAAACCAUUCUCAGUUCGGAUUGUAGGCUGCAACUCGCCUACAUGAAGCCGGAAUCGCUAGUAAUCGCGGAUCAGCAUGCCGCGGUGAAUACGUUCCCGGGUCUUGUACACACCGAAGG